rnacentral:rRNA from 1 species
UACGGAGGGUGCAAGCGUUAAUCGGAAUUACUGGGCGUAAAGCGUGCGUAGGCGGUUUGUUAAGUCCGUUGUGAAAGCCCCGAGCUCAACUUGGGAAUUGCAGUGGAUACUGGCAGGCUGGAGUACGGUAGAGGAAGGUGGAAUUCCCGGUGUAGCGGUGAAAUGCGUAGAUAUCGGAAGGAACAUCAGUGGCGAAAGCGGCUUCCUGGUCCAGCACCGACGUUCAGGCACGAAAGCGUGGGGAGCAAACAGG